UGGUUCUGGCAUCGAUGAAGAACGCAGCGAAAUGCGAUAAGUAAUGUGAAUUGCAGAAUUCAGUGAAUCAUCGAAUUUUUGAACGCAUAUUGCGCCUUUUGGUAUUCCGAAAGGCAUGCCUGUUCGAGCGUCAUUACAACCCUCAAACUUAGGUUUGAUGUUGGGCAGAUUUGCCAUGAUGGCAUGCCUAAAAUUUAGUGAUGGUAACCUUUAACCACAGGCGCACACAUGUCGCUAAUGUUGGGGAUCGGUGUCCAUCUUCAACCCAAUAGUUAUCAAUGUUGACCUCGGAUCAGGUAGGGAUACCCGCUGA
rnacentral:misc_RNA from 1 species